rnacentral:rRNA from 1 species
GACGAACGCUGGCGGCGUGCUUAACACAUGCAAGUCGAGCGGAAAGGCUCCUUCGGGGGUACUCGAGCGGCGAACGGGUGAGUAACACGUGAGUAAUCUGCCCUGUGCUCUGGGAUAGCCACCGGAAACGGUGAUUAAUACCGGAUAUGACCAGCUACUGCAUGGUGGUUGGUGGAAAGUUUUUCGGCACAGGAUGUGCUCGCGGCCUAUCAGCUUGUUGGUGAGGUAAUGGCUCACCAAGGCUUUGACGGGUAGCCGGCCUGAGAGGGUGACCGGUCACACUGGGACUGAGACACGGCCCAGACUCCUACGGGAGGCAGCAGUGGGGGAUAUUGGACAAUGGGCGGAAGCCUGAUCCAGCAACGCCGCGUGAGGGAUGACGGCCUUCGGGUUGUAAACCUCUUUCAGUACCGACGAAGCGCAAGUGACGGUAGGUUCAGAAGAAGGACCGGCCAACUACGUGCCAGCAGCCGCGGUAAUAC